GCUGGCAGCGUGGAUUAGGCAUGCAAGUCGAACGGGAAGCCCGGACUUCAACUUUUCGGAGGAGAAGAUCGGGUGGAGAGUGGCGGAAGGGUGAGUAACGCGUAGGUAAUCUGCCCUUUAGUUUGGGAUAACACUUUGAAAGAGGUGCUAAUACCGGAUGUGGUGCUUCAAGGCAUCUUGAGGUUACUAAAGAUGGGGAUCCUUCGGGACCUGUCGCUAGAGGAUGAGCCUGCGUCCCAUCAGCUUGUUGGUAAGGUAAAAGCUUACCAAGGCUUACGGGUAGGUGGUCUGAGAGGAUGGUCACCCACACUGGGACUGAGACACUGCCCAGACUCCUACGGGAGGCUGCAGUCGAGGAUCUUUUGCAAUGCGCGGAAGCGUGACAAAGCGACGCUGCGUGGAGGAUGAAGGCUUUCGGGUCGUAAACUCCUGUCAUUCGGGAAAAAUAAACCGGGUGUGAAUAAUGCCUGGAAUUGAUGGUACCGAAAGAGGAAGCCACGGCUAACUCUGUGCCAGCAGCCGCGGUAAUACAGAGGUGGCGAGCGUUGUUCGGAUUUACUGGGCGUAAAGGGUGCGUAGGUGGUUUUGUAUGUCGAAUGUGAAAGCCCACUGCUUAACGGUGGAUGGUCAUUCGAAACUGCAGGGCUAGAGUACAGGAGAAGAGAGCGGAAUUCUUGGAGUAGCGGUGAAAUGCCUUGAUAUCAAGAAAAACACCGGUGGCGAAAGCGGCUCUCUUGAAU
rnacentral:rRNA from 1 species